UACGGGGGGGGUAAGCGUUGUUCGGAAUUACUGGGCGUAAAGGGCUCGUAGGCGGCCAACUAAGUCAUACGUGAAAUCCCUCAGCUUAACCGAGGAACUGCGUCCGAUACUGAAAGGCUUGAAUCCGGGAGAGGGAUGUGGAAUUCCAGGUGUAGCGGUGAAAUGCGUAGAUAUCGAGAGGAACACCAGUGGCGAAGGCGAGUCUCUGGACAUUUCCUGACGCUGAGGCACGAAAGCCAGGGGAGCAAACGGG
rnacentral:rRNA from 1 species